ACCUAGGGGGCGCAGCAGUGAGGAAUAUUUGUCAAUGGGCGAGAGCCUGAACCAGCCAAGUCGCGUGAGGGAAGACGGCCCUAUGGGUUGUAAACCUCUUUUGUCGGAGAACAAAACACGGGACGUGUCCCGGACUGCGUGUAUCCGAAGAAAAAGCAUCGGCUAACUCCGUGCCAGCAGCCGCGGUAAUACGGAGGAUGCGAGCGUUAUCCGGAUUUAUUGGGUUUAAAGGGGGCGUAGGCGGUCUGUUAAGUCAGCGGGAAAAUUGCGGGGCGC
rnacentral:rRNA from 1 species